UAUUUGUAUACAUCAACUUUUUGCCCUCUUUUAUUGUAAUAAAAGAGGGCAAAAAGUUGAUGUAUACAAAU